rnacentral:rRNA from 1 species
AGUCGAACGGCAGCACGGGCUUCGGCCUGGUGGCGAGUGGCGAACGGGUGAGUAAUACAUCGGAACGUGCCCUGUAGUGGGGGAUAACUAGUCGAAAGAUUAGCUAAUACCGCAUAUGACCUGAGGGUGAAAGCGGGGGACCGCAAGGCCUCGCGCUACAGGAGCGGCCGAUGUCUGAUUAGCUAGUUGGUGGGGUAAAAGCCUACCAAGGCGACGAUCAGUAGCUGGUCUGAGAGGACGAUCAGCCACACUGGGACUGAGACACGGCCCAGACUCCUACGGGAGGCAGCAGUGGGGAAUUUUGGACAAUGGGGGCAACCCUGAUCCAGCAAUGCCGCGUGUGUGAAGAAGGCCUUCGGGUUGUAAAGCACUUUUGUCCGGAAAGAAAUGGCUCUGGUUAAUACCCGGGGUCGAUGACGGUACCGGAAGAAUAAGCACCGGCUAACUACGUGCCAGCAGCCGCGGUAAUACGUAGGGUGCGAGCGUUAAUCGGAAUUACUGGGCGUAAAGCGUGCGCAGGCGGUUUUGUAAGACAGGCGUGAAAUCCCCGAGCUCAACUUGGGAAUGGCGCUUGUGACUGCAAGGCUAGAGUAUGUCAGAGGGGGGUAGAAUUCCACGUGUAGCAGUGAAAUGCGUAGAGAUGUGGAGGAAUACCGAUGGCGAAGGCAGCCCCCUGGGACGUCACUGACGCUCAUGCACGAAAGCGUGGGGAGCAAACAGGAUUAGAUACCCUGGUAGUCCACGCCCUAAACGAUGUCAACUAGUUGUUGGGGAUUCAUUUCUUCAGUAACGUAGCUAACGCGUGAAGUUGACCGCCUGGGGAGUACGGUCGCAAGAUUAAAACUCAAAGGAAUUGACGGGGACCCGCACAAGCGGUGGAUGAUGUGGAUUAAUUCGAUGCAACGCGAAAAACCUUACCUACCCUUGACAUGCCACUAACGAAGCA